CGGCACGCGAUCUCCACGUUGACCUCCCCGGCGAAGGUGAAGUUCUCCAUGAAGGCGCGGCGCGCAGUCCUCCGGGUGGGAUGUGCUCGCGGCGGCGGCGGCGGUAGCAGCGGCGGCAGCACGGGAGGCGCCCGAGCCAUGCACCCCGCAGCCGGAGAGGAGAGGAGAGGAGAGGCUGGCCGGGAGUGCUGGAGGGAGAGACUGGAGGGAAUCAGCCGGCGGCCGGUCCCAGGGCCGCGGAGCUACGCCGGGGAGCUGUCCUGGAGCCUGGAGGAGCCUUCUCCUCCACCCCGGACACUUUCAGCAGCGGCGGCGGCGGCGUGAGGUGGCGAGCCCGGACGGCGGCGGCGGCAGCGGGCCUCCCUCGUUCCGGUGUUGCUCUGCCCUCCAGAGAUGACAAGUGAGGAAGAAGUGUCCGGCCCGGCCAUCCACUUCAGACACCCACAGCCACAGAGGGGGUUGCUGAGCCGCCUGCCAGAAGUACAUUGUAAAUCUUCCGCGCAACGAGCCCCGCAGUCACCCCUCUUGCCGACUCCUGAACCCCGCUGCGGCUCCCCGGAGGGACUGCUGGAGCCUGGGGUUGUUAACGUGGAGAGCCGAGGAAGAUCGU